rnacentral:tRNA from 1 species
CCUGAUAAGGAUGAGGCCACAGGUUCAAAUCCUGUUAGCCCCA